ACCAAGUACCCCUGACUGCAGCCCGCAGAUCGGGGCGUGCCUCAACGUGGGCGGAGUUAAACGUUGAGCUCCGCCCACCUUGAACUAAACGUGGGCGGAGUUAAACGUUUAACUCCGCCCGCAUAGCGCAGUUGAACCGUUGAAGAAGAAGAAGAAUGUAUUAGAGAAGAAGAAGAAGUUUCCAAAAUGGAGAGAAUAGAGCACGUGUUUGCUGCAAACAGCCGCGUCAUUGCCACAUGGUUUCCACCAUCAUCCACAAACCCCAUGGAUCACCUGCUGGACAAUGCAGCCAGUCUCCAGUGGGUUCUGCUUCCAGUAUUUGUACCUGGACACUGGAUACUCUGCACAUUGCUCACAGCCUAUCUCCUGGCCCUUGGAGGCAGCUUGGUGUGAAUGAUGUUCAGGAAAACAUGCUGCAGAUUAGAAGAUGGUGGUGUCUUGUUCUCCUGCUAAGAGAGAUUGCAGCAAAGAAAAAGGCAACGAGAGCAGAAAAAACUACAGGAUGUGGCUGAAGUCCCCCUGAAAAUGUUUAGGCUUUCAGAAUCUGCCACUGAAGCAUCAGAUCAGGCUGAGAACAGGACUGGGAACAGGAAACGGGGAGAAUCCUUUGGUCAGGGAUGCAAUGGCAGCAGCCCGGUGGUGUGGGACCAGAACUUUCAAGGGAAAAAUUUCCCUUCCCCAAGUUGUUACCAUGGCCAAGGAGCAACGCGUGAGGGCAGUGGAACUCCUGUGUGUCUGUGAUGGCCAGGAAGAAGAGGAGACCGCUGAUCUCAGAGAACCGUUCCUUUUUCUUUUUAGUCUGCAGGAAGACUAUGAGACAUUCUGUCAAGAAAUCAUUGACAGGAGAAACAUGAAGGUGUUUUGUGCUUUUGACAGAAAAGAAUAAAGUUGUGUUCAACGGUG